rnacentral:rRNA from 1 species
UACGUAGGGGCAAGCGUUGUCCGGAUUUAUUGGGCGUAAAGAGCGUGUAGGCGGCCUGAAAGGUCAGCUGUGAAAACUCGAGGCUCAACCUCGAGACGUCGGUUGAAACCAUCUGGCUAGAGUCCGGAAGAGGAGUGUGGAAUUCCCGGUGUAGCGGUGAAAUGCGCAGAUAUCGGGAAGAACACCCGUGGCGAAGGCGGCACUCUGGGACGGUACUGACGCUGAGACGCGAAAGCGUGGGGAGCGAACGAGG